rnacentral:rRNA from 1 species
CUGGCUCAGGAUGAACGCUAGCGAUAGGCUUAACACAUGCAAGUCG